UCCCUAGUAGCUCAGAUGGUAAAGCAUCCAUCUGUAAUGCAGAAGACCCAGGUACAAUCCCUGGGUGGGGAA
rnacentral:tRNA from 1 species